GCUGGGGGAGGUGGCACAUGCCUGUAAUCCCAGUGGCUCAGGAGGCUGAGGCAGGAGGAUCGCAAGUUUAAAGACAGCCUCAGCAAUUUAGCAAGGCCCUAAGCAACUCAGUGAGACCCUGUCUCUA
rnacentral:sRNA from 1 species